rnacentral:rRNA from 1 species
UACUCCUACGGGAGGCAGCAGUGGGGAAUAUUGCACAAUGGGCGCAAGCCUGAUGCAGCCAUGCCGCGUGUAUGAAGAAGGCCUUCGGGUUGUAAAGUACUUUCAGCGGGGAGGAAGGCGGUGAGGUUAAUAACCUUGCCGAUUGACGUUACCCGCAGAAGAAGCACCGGCUAACUCCGUGCCAGCAGCCGCGGUAAUAA